GAGGGACUUGAGGAUGAUCUUUAAAUAGGUCAAGCAGGAGGAUGAGGAGGAUUUUCACGGAAGAAAUCUGCUUUAGCGGGCUUUGGGACCGGCUUUUCCGCGUUUUUUAAGUUCCCUGAUCUUAAAUACAACGUUGACUAAUGAGUGAAUGUUGUGUUUCAGGCAAACGAAAGCUAUCUGAUGAACGAGGAGCCCUCCAGAGGUCCUGGGAUGCCUGAAUGCUUCGUGGUGUCAGACUCUUACAGGGCGGGGUUACUGUAAGCUGCAGCAGCAUGGACUGAGAGAAGCAGGACGGCAAACGAUUGCAAUGCGGCACCGAGCUUCCAUCCAACUCCAAUAAGCUCUCCAGUCCUCCCUCCCAGUUGAACAACCAUGUACUCCCCGUACUGCCUGACACAGUAUUACCCCACUCACCUUCUAAACAAUGCCUUAGUGGUAAGUCCUGUGAAGUCGCUGUUUAUUCAGCAUUAGGUGUCUGUCUGUGUUUGUUUUUUGUCCUUUCUUUCCUCCUCAGUUUUCCCUCCCCGUUUGCGCUCCUCCCGCUGCGCCACUGAGGCGCGCGCGGGCUCCUCUCCACCUGGAAUAGCUCCUCUGCGCAGGAGACGAUGCAAAUGCGCGAACUUUCUGAUGACCUGCACGAUCCUGGCAGUGGGAAAAAAAUCCAGAAAUUUAGGUUUUACCAGAAAAAUACGUCUGACUAAUUACUAGUCAAUAACGCGCGCAGAGAGAAGAAUCCGUCAAUUAGCGGACAGAUCCUUCAAAGCUGUCCAAUGUAGAUUAUUUUCUCCACCUGUUAUUUUUCCUGACUAAUAGUCACAACUCCCAAAAGGCUUCGUUCUGCUUUUUACGUGCUGAAUGGCUGCAGAGGAUAAUAUUUUUCGUGCGUCACUGAGACAGGGGCGCAUCCA
rnacentral:lncRNA from 1 species